AUUGAACGCUGGCGGCAUGCCUUACACAUGCAAGUCGAACGGCAGCACGGGUGCUUGCACCUGGUGGCGAGUGGCGAACGGGUGAGUAAUACGUCGGAACGUACCUUAUCGUGGGGGAUAACGCAGCGAAAGUUGCGCUAAUACCGCAUACGCCCUGAGGGGGAAAGCGGGGGACCGUAAGGCCUCGCGCGAGUAGAGCGGCCGAUGUCUGAUUAGCUUGUUGGUGAGGUAAAAGCUCACCAAGGCGAUGAUCAGUAGCUGGUCUAAGAGGACGAUCAGCCACACUGGGACUGAGACACGGCCCAGACUCCUACGGGAGGCAGCAGUGGGGAAUUUUGGACAAUGGGGGCAACCCUGAUCCAGCAAUGCCGCGUGAGUGAAGAAGGCCUUCGGGUUGUAAAGCUCUUUUGUCAGGGAAGAAACAGCAGCUCUAACACAGUCUGCGAAUGACGGUACCUGAAGAAUAAGCACCGGCUAACUACGUGCCAGCAGCCGCAGUAA
rnacentral:rRNA from 1 species